AUACCCUUAAUUUAAUAAACAAUAUGCCAAAAUGAUAUGACAAAAAUUAAAGGUAUUUUUAUCAUUUUAUUCUUAUUUAAUGGAGAUAUUUCACAUAAUUAUCAAAAUGAUUAAUAGUGAACAACCUUAAAGAUUUGAAAUCUCAUAAAUCAAAAUGAUGAAUUAUACAAAUCUCAAUAGGCAUUUGACUAAAACAAAAACCUUGGGCAUAUGGUAAGUGUAAGUGUGGAUUUACAGCCCUUGUGACUAAACGCUGAAAAAGCUGAAGUAGGACGCAUGGUUGGCAACUUUGGAAAAAUCUGGCGUCGGUAGGAUAAAGAGCCCCUGUAUGUUUGCCAAUUGCCAUGCUUUUUCCUGGUCUGCCAAAUUAUCAACUUUGCUUUCUUAUCCUUCCAGUUGUGUGGCUCACGACAAAACGUGCAUUUUUCUCAUCGAUAUAAAUUAUGGUGUACGUUUAUCAUCUAUUUUAAAUUUUGUCAUGUAUCUUUUAUCUAAUUUUAGUUAAUUACUAUAUUAAAUAUAUUUUUUUUAAUUUUGAAAAGUAUUAAGAAAAAAAAAAUGAUCCCCUUCUUUCUUCUCUAUUUUGUUCCCUCUUCCUUAUAUGUUUUAGCAAUUGAUAUGAAAGUUGAUGAUUAAAUUAUUAUUUUAACGUUAACAAACGUGUUCAUUUUUAUUGGUGACACACCAUUUAAUUUAUAAAUUUUAUUUACAAAUUUAAUUAUCUUAACCUUACAUUUUUUAUAUUUUUUUAUAACAAAAAAUUAUGACCCCACGACGGUGAAGAGAGGAUAAAGAGGAAAGUAACACUUUCUUUCUGGCCACAAAGGACUUAUCAUGGCAAAUUGAAUUAUUGAAGAGCUCUAAAGUCUUUGCCAUCUGGAAUCUGGAUUUGUUGAUUUUCAUAAGCGAUCGGAUCGAUGGAAACGCGUCCCUUCAUCUUCUUGAUCAUCUGAAAACUUCAAUUAAUGCAUUUUAAGCUCGAGAGCUCAAGCUUCCAGGGAACUACUUGAAUCUUAAUUGCACUAAAAGAUUUCAACUUUAAGUCUUCAACUGAUCCUCGGAAGCAAGUUUCCUCGUGAUCCGACGACUUCCAUGACGAGGACUUUUUUUUACACAGGAAAAAGUAGAAGACAAAAUUAGCCCCGCGACAAUGAAGAGAUAGGGAAAACAAAGAGGAGGAUUUAUCAUAGCAAAUUGAACUAUUGAAAGUUCUGAAGUAUUUUCGUUUGGAAUCUGGAUUCUUUGACUCCAAUACGAGAUCAGAUCAGAUCAGAUGGAAUCAAGUCUCUUCGUCUUCAUGAUCAUCUGAAAACUUCAAUUUAAUGCAUUUUAAGCUUGAGAGCUCAAGCUUCCAGGGAACUACUCAGUCUCAACUGCGCUAAAGUUUUCAACUUCAACUGAAACUUGAUCCCUGGAAACUAGUGUUCUCUUGAUCUGCGACCUGACGACUUUCACAUGUGACUACUUGUGAGUCUUGAUUGGUACUUGCUCAACGGAUCAAACUUCCAAUUCAAGAAACUAUGGCGGCAGAGGCUUUUCUUGCGUCAUUCCUCCAAAUGCUGGUUGACAAGUUGGCGAGUCGCGACGUCUUGAAGUACUUUGGACUCGUAAAAAGCGUCGAUAAGAAACUGACGGAAUGGAUUGCCACCUGGUCUGCAAUUGGAGCUGUGCUGAUUGACGCGGAGAAAAGGCAACUGGCGGAUGAGAGCAACACACUGAAGCUCUGGCUCGAUGAACUCAGGGACUUGGCUUUUGAUGCGGAAGACGUGUUGGAUAAAUAUCAUACUGAAAUGUUGAAACGUCGGAUACAACAUGCUCAUUCCAGCGCAAUAAGCAAAGCAUGGAAACCAUUUCCUAAUGGUGUUUUCAACUGGAAGAUGAACUCAGACAUAGAGAAGAUUACUGAGCGAUUACAAAAGAUAUCCGUACGAAAAGACCAGCUCGGUUUGAAAAUUGAUACUGUGACGUGGACUCCAGGGGCACGCCAAUACAUACCGCCUAGUUCUAGUCUAUCAGAUAGACCUGUGAUUGGAAGGGAGGAGGACAAAAGGAAGAUUGUUGAGCUGCUGUCAAAACAAGAGCAUCGUGCUGUCAAUUUCGAUGUAGUUGCAAUUGUUGGUAUGGCUGGAGUCGGAAAGACAACACUCGCCGGACAAGUAUUCAAAGAUAUGGAAGCAACCCAAAUGUUUCAACCAGCCGUUUGGGUGUGCGUAUCUGACGACUUCAACCUUGAAAGAGUGACAAAGCAAAUUCUUCAAUCAAUCACAUCUCGGCAAUACACCACAGAAGAUUACGAGAAGGUUCAAAAUGAUCUGCAUAAGGAGUUAGCGGGGAAGAAGUUUUUAAUUGUUUUAGACGAUGUUUGGAAAACGUGUAGCUACGGUGAAUGGAUGAAGCUGCAGUCCCCUUUUCGUGAUGGAGCACAAGGAAGCAAGAUAGUUGUGACAACACGUGAUACAGAGGUUUCAAAAAUGAUGGGAGCUGCCACGCUGGUUCACAAUUUGGUGCCUAUGCAAAAUGAUGUUUGUUUGCAAGUAUUUGAGCAGCAUGCGCUCUUGAAUGCUAACAGACCACCAAACUACGAGUCACUAAAGGAGAAAAUUGUUGCAAAGUGUAGGGGAUUGCCUUUGGCCGCGAGGACCCUCGGUGGUGUUCUACUUGAUCAAAAAAUAGACAAAUGGGAAGAAAUAUUGAACGACAAGUUGUGGAGUCUCUCAGAUAAGCAUGACAUACUUCCCGUGUUGAGACUAAGUUACUUUUAUCUUCCUUCACAUUUGAAAAGAUGCUUUGCCUAUUGCUCAAUACUUCCAAAUGACUAUGAAUUCGGGGAGAUGCAAAUGAUCCUUCUGUGGAUGGCCGAGGGUUUGAUUCAUCAUCGACCAGAAGAUAAUAAGCAAAUUGAAGAUUUAGGUGCUGAUUAUUUUCGGGAGCUCGUUUGUAGGUCAUUGUUUCAAAAGUCAACCGAAGAUACUUCAAAAUAUGUGAUGCAUGACCUCAUUGGUGAUUUAGCAAGAUGGGCCGCUGGAGAUAUUUGUUUUAGAUUGGAGGAUAAGCAAAAUAAUGAUGGUGUACAACUUACAUGUUUUCCGAAGGCACGCCAUUCGUCUUACCUUAUGGGUGAUUGUGAUGGGGUUAAAAGAUUUGAGGUAUUUUCUGAAGUGAAAUGUUUGCGAACCUUCUUGCCACUAAGAAAGGGUUCUCCCUACAAUUAUUUAAGUCGUCAGGUUACCUUUGAUUUAUUGCCAAAAUUGCAGUACUUGCGGGUGCUCUCUUUUAAUGGCUAUAGAAUAACUGAGCUGCCAAACUCAAUUGGUGAUUUGAGAUAUCUACGGUAUCUUGACGUUUCCUACACAUUGAUAACCUGUUUGCCUAAAUCAUUAAGUACUCUUUACAACCUGCAGACAUUGAUAUUGGAAGGUUGUUCUGAAUUAAAGUCAUUGCCUGCAGACAUGAGUAAUCUAAUUAAUUUGCGCCAUCUCAACAACUCAGAUGUAUCUCGGUGGGAAGGAAUGCCUCCAAAACUAGGUAGAUUGGAGAAUCUCCAAUUAUUGCCUAAUUUUGUGGUGAGCGGUGAAAGUGAUCAAUCAGGGAUAAGAGAAAUAGGGCCCCUAUCGCAGCUCCGAGGGACAUUGUGCCUCUCAAGAUUGGAGAAUGUGACUGAUGUCGAGGAUGCCAGGAGGGCCAACUUGAAAUGCAAGGAGAGGCUUGAUUCGUUGGUCCUAGAAUGGUCUCAUUCAAGCGACACAGGAGAAACUGAAUCCGCUGUGCUUGACAUGUUCCAGCCUCAUACAAAGAUCAAGGAGCUCACCAUCAAGAGUUAUGCCGGCAAGGAAUUUUCAUCAUGGGUUGGAGGUUCUUUCUUCUCUAAUAUGGUGCUUGUGCGCUUAGAGGAAUGUAACAAUUGUUUAUCGUUGCCACCUCUCGGACAAUUGCCUCAACUCAAGGAGCUUUAUAUUAGAGGAAUGAAUGCAGUGGAAAGUGUUGGUGCUGAGUUUUAUGGCGAGUGUGUCUUGGCUUUUCCGCUGUUAGAGAUUCUCGAGUUUGUGGAUAUGCAGCAUUGGAAGGUGUGGCUUCCUUUCCAACUGGAUCACAGAAGUGGUGUUUUCCCUUGCCUGAAAAGGCUUUCAAUCGAAAAAUGUUCCCAGUUGGAAGGCAAGCUGCCAGAGAACCUUGAUUUGUUAGCCGAACUUGAAAUUGUUAAAUGUGAGGAAUUGGCGGUUUCGAUUGCCAACUACAAACAACUUCGUCAAUUAAAUAUUAAGGGUUGUAAAGUAUUGGUGCAUACAGAUGCUAAGGUUGAGUUUGAGUUAUUAGAGUCCUUGUGCCUUUCAAACAUUUCGGAGGUGAUGUCUCUGCAAACAGGGGAAUUGUUGAGGAAGGGAUUAAGCAAGGUUAGAGAUUUGAAGAUUAAUGGAUGUGAGAAGCUGACGUCUUCAUGGAAGAAUGAGGGUAGAUUAUUGCAGCGGUUGACUUGUCUUGGCCGUUUGAAAAUUGAAGACAACUCUCGUCUAGUUGAAGAAUUGGGAGAAGAAGCAGAGGAGUUGCUGCAAUUGGAAAUAUUGGAGUGCAAGCUUGAAUGUCUGAAGUUAAAAAAGUGCGAAAAUCUUUUGAAGCUACCAAAAGGGUUAAAUCAGCUGUCGUCUCUUCAAGAGCUUCGCAUAUACGAAUGUUCAUCUCUAGUUUCUUUUCCAGAUGUUGGUCUGCCACCUUCUCUUAAAGACAUCGAGAUUACAGGAUGCCAUUCGUUGAUAUAUUUUGCAAAAUUCCAGAUUCCCCAAAAUCUCAGAAGAAUAGAGAUAAGAGAUUGCAAAAGUUUGAAAUCACUAGUAGAUGAGGAGGAAUGUGAACGACUGGGUUUAAUAGCACCGAACGGGAUCUUCAGCGACAACACCAAUCACUGCCUUGAAUGUAUUCACAUCUGGGAUUGCCAAAAUCUGAAAUCCUUACCGGAUGGCUUAUGCCACCUCAGCAAUCUUCAAGAGCUACAUAUUGCAAUAUGUGGAAGUCUUGUUUCCAUCCCGAGACUGAGUGGGGGGAGAAGACCCUCCAACCUGAGAAAGAUCUCGAUCAUGCACAAUCUCAAGUUGGAGGCGUUGCCCGAAGACAUGCACAAUCUCAACUCUCUUGAAUGUAUUGAGAUCUGGGAUUGCCAAAAUCUGAAAUCCUUACCGGAUGGUUUAUGCUACCUCAGCAAUCUUCAAACUCUAAUUAUUAUCAAUUGUGGAAGUCUUGUUUCCAUCUCGAGACUGAGUGGGGGGAGAAGACCCUCCAACCUGAGAAAGAUGGGGAUCUACAUAUGCGAGAAAUUGGAGGCGUUGCCCGAAGACAUGCACAAUCUCAACUCUCUUGAGGAAUUGAGCAUCGACUACCGUGAAGGUUUGACUUUUCCUCCCAACCUCACAUCACUUGAAAUUAAUAUGGUCAAGAGCUGUAAGUCAUUGUGGGAGUUGGAGUGGGGGUUGCACAGACUCACCUCUCUUACAAUUUGUGGUUACGAAGACCCGGAUACGGUGUCGUUUCCACCCGACAUGGUACGGAUGGAGACGCUCUUCCCCAAAUCUCUCACUAGCCUCUCAAUAGAAGGCUUCCCGAAUCUGAAGAAACUGAGCAGCAAGGGCUUUCAAUUCCUCACCUCCCUUCAACAUUUGGGACUUUGGAAUUGUCCAAAGCUAGCAUCCAUUCCAGAGGAGGGUCUGCCUCCUUCACUAGAGAGACUUUUCAUCUUUAGGUGUCCAGUGCUAAAAGAGAGAUGCCAACCAGGAAAAGGACGCUACUGGCACAAAAUAUCCCACAUCCCUUCCAUACAGAUAGAUGGCAGGGAGAUAUGAAGCUGAUGGUCCGGGUUUUGGGGGUUGAGGAGUGGCUGCUUUGGGAGGCCUUCAAUUGGCGACAACUUGGAUAUUUCUCGGCCAACGUUUAUUCUCAUGGCGACAACUUGGAUAUUUCUCGGCCAACGUUUAUUCUCAUGGAUUCCUAUAUUUGCUUUUUUUCUUUUUCUUUUUUCUUUUUUUUUUUUUUUUUUGGGUAAACAAUUGCUAUGUUUGCUUGGUCCCUUUUGACUGAUUUGUAUUAUAACUUUAUAAAUGUGCUACCUUUUCUCCUAAGUAUGGAGUUUUUCCCAUUCAGUUUUUUCCCAGCAAGAUUUUAACCAGGCCACUUAAACCUGAUCUUUUAUUUUAUUUUAGCAAAUUUUGACUUAUGAGCUAGUAUUGCAUUUUAUUUAAUGCAUCGAGAAUAAGCAAUCAAUAAAGAAAUGGAAAUGCAAGGGGCUCGUUGUUGAAGUUGUGUUGUCUCUAGUCUUUAAAUGAUGAUUAGAUUCUCAAAAAGUUGCGUUAGUUUCGGUAUACUGACUUGACCACUUUUUGACGUGGGAAUUAGUUUCCCGAUGUGGAAUGAUGACCGCUAAAUGACUUCCUUUACUACGUCUUGUCUUCCUGAAAGUAGAAAAUAUGUGCCAACGAAUUUUGGUAAAUCAAAUCGUUAUACCAAGCUUUCGUCACUUA